CAGGACGUUCAACAGUGGGAACCCAGACCCUACAGCUGGUAAGCCGCUGGCUCCAGACUUUGGAGGGCCUGUGAGAGGAAAGGGAUGCCCUGCAGGCCCCACUAUGAAGGAAGCUGGGGUGAUAGGGACCCCUUUCCUCCCCUCCCCCGUGAGCAUUUUUUAAGGGGGAGGGUUUGUGGUGGGACAGCUACCCCACCCCCAUGUGAGAGGGAACUAGAGUAGGCCAGAAUGGCUGUGCAAGCCGUCUUCCAAUCAGGGAAGGGCCUAGUGAGAGCCAAUCAGGGCCGAGAUUAGAGCCAGCCAAUCAGGGCUAGGCUAGGCCCUAUAUAAUGGCUGCCCAGGAGAGCAGCGGGUAGUCUGUCCCAGAAUUUCAUGGGGGAAGGUCUGUCUCCAGAGCAGAAGACCAGCAUCUCGGGCUGGGCAAUACUGCAUCUGGCCAUCCGAUGGCCGAGACAAAUUGUAACCGGCCCUUGAGACAAGGGGCUAGACUUUGGGGGUUGCGGUUGGCUACCGAGGCAGGUGCAAGGACUGUUGCUAACCCCCGCCCCUGGAAUGGGGUGAGGAUGGACUAGUGGGCACUGCUGGAGGCAGUGUCAAGAGGUGAGCAACGUGGCUCCAGAUCCCAACGGAGGAAAAGGGACGGAUGGGACGCUGCCAGCAGAGGGCAUUCCCCAUGGACUGAGCUAAUUCCCAGAGCGACCAGCGGGAGGCGCAAUGCUGGAAUAGGAGCCUCCUUCCAGCUCUCUUCCAGGCCCUGGGAUCUGGCACAGCCUCCCAGACGGGCGCUUCCUGUAGCUGAGCCACGUCAGGGAGCAGCGGGGACAGGUCACCUCGUCCCAGCAAUGCCGGCUCUCAAAGAGGCUUAGAUGGAAGACCCCAGUCCCUCAUUGAGAGGUGGUGUCCAGGAUCCUGGAGACUGUUUCCUGCUGCAGGAGGUUUGUGCGGGGAGAGAUCACUCACUGUCACGCCCCAGGGGUCUCCAACCCGGGUCUGCAGGGUUCAUGGGAGCAGCCACACUCCAACCCUCCACCUGGAAGCCUGCUGAAAAUUGCUUACCUCGGACCCAUGAAGUUCAGCCCCAGUUUGAGGCUCCACUCCUGAGGUCCUAUUGGAGGAGUCCCAGGAAAGCUCACUGGCCCCCUGGCCCUGCGUAAGACAGCAGCAGGAACACGAAGCUGACUGAACACCAGGCCUGCUCCCGGUUCUGGACCGUGCGCUGCCUGGUUCUGCUGCCGCUCCCCUGGCUUGAUUUCCUGGCAUCUGAGUUGUGGUGGUGAUAGCAAGUUUGUCUUUUGCUGCUGAUCUUCCAGUAUCCUGACCUGGCUGACUCUCAGCUCCUGUCAUGUGAGUGUGGACUCUGGCUCUGACCAGUAGGUCUGGCUGCACUUGACCUAGCCAUGACAUUGACUUUGGUACAACUUCUCCAUUGCCCCUUUCUGAUCUCCAGCAAGAUACACCAGUCCCUUGGCUCCCAAAGUCCCAGUUGCCCGCUAUUCAAGGGCUGAGGGGUAGUGCUUGUAUCGCCCCACCCCAGCUGCUUUUCCUAGGGGAAUCUCCCUAGAGCAGAGGAGAAAUCUGCUCUUUUCUUAGGAUCAGUCCCACUCUGGCCUCAGCUCAGCUACUUUGUUUACCUGGGGUCAGGCACCACUUUUGAAGCCCUUAGCGUGGGGGUGGAGGUGGGAGCAGAGGCUGAAGCUCCAGCAGUUUCCACCAAAGAACACCCCCCUGUCUUUCUAUGGUCCGGCUAGGGCCCCCCAUCCAUCCUGGAGCUGAACACCAGAUGGGAGCUGAUGGAUUGUCCUUGGUGGG